rnacentral:rRNA from 1 species
AGUGAACGCUGGCGGUGGGCCUAACACAUGCGAGUCGAACGGCAGCACAGUAAGAGCUUGCUCUUACGGGUGGCGAGUGGCGGACGGGUGAGGAAUACAUCGGAAUCUACUUUUUCGUGGGGGAUAACGUAGGGAAACUUACGCUAAUACCGCAUACGACCUACGGGUGAAAGCAGGGGAUCUUCGGACCUUGCGCGAUUGAAUGAGCCGAUGUCGGAUUAGCUAGUUGGCGGGGUAAAGGCCCACCAAGGCGACGAUCCGUAGCUGGUCUGAGAGGAUGAUCAGCCACACUGGAACUGAGACACGGUCCAGACUCCUACGGGAGGCAGCAGUGGGGAAUAUUGGACAAUGGGCGCAAGCCGGAUCCAGCCAUACCGCGUGGGUGAAGAAGGCCUUCGGGUUGUAAAGCCCUUUUGUUGGGAAAGAAAAGCAGCAGGUUAAUACCCCGCUGUUCUGACGGUACCCAAAGAAUAAGCACCGGCUAACUUCGUG